GCACCCGUAGCUCAGGGGAUAGAGCAGCGGAUUUCUAAUCCGUUGGUCGCAGGUUCAAAUCCUGCCGGGUGCG
rnacentral:tRNA from 2 species